rnacentral:tRNA from 1 species
GACCCCGUAGCUCAGCGGUAGAGCGUGAGAUUCCAGUCCUCAAGGUCAUCCGUUCAAUCCGGGUCGGGGUCA